rnacentral:rRNA from 1 species
GACAGAGGGUGCAAACGUUGUUCGGAAUUACUGGGCGUAAAGCGCGUGUAGGCGGCCCUGCAAGUCGGGUGUGAAAUCCCACGGCUCAACCGUGGAAGUGCACUCGAAACUGCAGGGCUAGAGUCCUGGAGAGGAAGGUGGAAUGCUUGGUGUAGAGGUGAAAUUCGUAGAUAUCAAGCGGAACACCAGUGGCGAAGGCGGCUCACUGGCCCGAUACUGACGCUGAGGCACGAAAGCGUGGGGAGCAAACAGG